GGAUGUGAGGGCGAUCUGGCUGCUACAUCUGUCACCUCAUUGAUUGCCAGAGUUGAUUCAGCUGAUCUGGCUGGCUAAACAGGUGUACCCUUCCUCCCUCACCACUCCAUGUGUGUCCUUCCUGAAUUCAUGCUCUGUGGAAGAGGUCGACCUUCCCCAAAUAGAAGAGGAUCAGUCUUCAGUCAAGGGUAUAAGACUAGAUGGGCUCCCCUACUAGAACCUGCAAACAAACUCUCAAGAGAACCAGGAAACCCAAGUCCAUCUUUGGCUUUGAGAUCCUGAAGAAAGAUCAAAGUGCAAGUAAAG
rfam:Cricetulus griseus cell line CHO-K1, whole genome shotgun sequence.